UUUCCAGCAGCCGCGGUAAUACGUAGGUGGCAAGCGUUGUCCGGAUUUACUGGGCGUAAAGGGCGUGCAGGCGGUUCGUUUAGUUCAGGGUGAAAGCUCCCGGCUUAACUGGGAGAGGUCUCUGGAUACUGGCGGACUUGAGGGGGGUAGAGGAGAGUGGAAUUCCCGGUGUAGUGGUGAUAUGCGUAGAUAUCGGGAGGAACACCAGUGGCGAAGGCGGCUCUCUGGGCCCUACCUGACGCUGAGACGCGAAAGCGUGGGGAGCGAACCGGAUUAGAAACCCUAGUAGUCC
rnacentral:rRNA from 1 species